rnacentral:rRNA from 1 species
CCAGAGACCGAUAGCGCACAAGUAGAGUGAUCGAAAGAUGAAAAGCACUUUGGAAAGAGGGUUAAACAGUACGUGAAAUUGUUGAAAGGGAAGCGCUCGCGGCCAGAUUCGGCCCCGGCGGAUCACCCGGCGUUCUCGCCGGUGCACUCCGCCCGGGCGCCGGGCCAGCAUCGGCCCGCGGCGGGGGAGAAAGGCGCCGGGAACGUGGCUCCCCAGGGAGUGUUAUAGCCCGGCGUGCCAUGCCCCGCGGCGGGCCGAGGUCCGCGCUCACGCAAGGAUGCUGGCGUAAUGGCCGCCAGCGACCCGUCUUGAAACACGGACCAAGGAGUCGUCCUCGCAUGCGAGUGUUCGGGUGUCAAACCCCUACGCGGAAUGAAAGUGAACGCUGGUGAGAGCCCCUCGGGGCGCAUCAUCGACCGAUCCUGAUGUCCUCGGAUGGAUUCGAGUAGGAGCAUGCGGGGCCGGACCCGAAAGAAGGUGAACUAUGCCUGCGUAGGGUGAAGCCAGAGGAAACUCUGGUGGAGGCUCGCAGCGGUUCUGACGUGCAAAUCGAUCGUCAAACGUGGGCAUGGGGGCGAAAGACUAAUCGAACCUUCUAGUAGCUGGUUUC